rnacentral:rRNA from 2 species
GUUGUAUGGUUAAGUGACUAAGCGUACACGGUGGAUGCCUUGGCAGUCAGAGGCGAUGAAAGGCGUAAUAACUUGCGAUAAGCCCAGAUUAGGUAGUAAUAACCUUUUGAGUC